rnacentral:rRNA from 1 species
CAGUAGCCGCGGGAAUACGAAGGGUGCAAGCGUUACUCGGAAUUACUGGGCGUAAAGCGUGCGUAGGUGGUGGUUUAAGUCCGUUGUGAAAGCCCUGGGCUCAACCUGGGAAUUGCAGUGGAUACUGGGUAACUAGAGUGUGGUAGAGGAUAGUGGAAUUUCCGGUGUAGCAGUGAAAUGCGUAGAGAUCGGAAGGAACAUCUGUGGCGAAGGCGACUAUCUGGGCCAACACUGACACUGAGGCACGAAAGCGUGGGGAGCAAACAGGAUUAGAUACCCGUGUAGUCCCUGUCUCUUAUAC